rnacentral:hammerhead_ribozyme from 15 species
CCGGCGUCUAAGGUAGGCUCCUACUACAUUACCUUACUGAUGAGUCCAGUAGUGGAAGCCGGGACGAAACGCCAA